ensembl:lncRNA
GCGGAUCACUACCGGGCGAACGCGUAAGCACGAGCACGGCGAUGAACGACACCGGCACCGACACCGCGGCGCGCUCCGGGUCCCGCUCCAGGUCCCGCUCCGGGUCCGGGUCCCGCUCCGGGUCCCGCUCCGGGUCCGGGUCCCGCUCUGGGUCCCGCUGCGACCAGCUGGUCUUCUUCGUUAACGGAAAGAAGAUUGUGGAGAGGAACGCGGACCCUGAGACCACACUGCUGACGUAUCUGAGGAGGACGCGUAGGGACACACACACACACACACACACACACUAUCUGACAGUGUGUGUGUGUAAUAAAGCAAUAAUGUACGAGAGGCUGUACUUUAUCGUCCAAUAAAGUAAGAGUUGGGGGGUGUUGUUGGGCCCGAGGCAGAGUACAGCCUCUUGUACCUUAUUGCUUUUAUAAUACGGUUACCAGCGUUAUAAGUUAGAAUUAGUAAGGAAAUAGCUUCCUUUCAGCACAAAAUAGUAUUAGCCACCAAACGUGCAUGUAAACAGGACCAUCUCAUUCAUUCACUCCGCUCAUGACGUCCACCUUAGUUGUCCGGUUGCGAAAGCUUGCAUUGCCCCAAACCGAUCAUUUGUGGGAUUUCCGUGUUUUUUUUGGCAAUCGCCAACGAGUUAAAAGCUAAAAUGUCAACUAAUGGUCGCGCAAAAAAUCUAACCUGCUACUUUGAGUGUGCAGUGAACAGGUGCUGUAAAUAAUGUACCCCUCGUGGCUCACUCUCAACCAAUCAGAACGCUGGAUUUCAUCCACCCAUAUUAUAAUAGACGGUAAAGCAGGCUAUGGUUUAGGGGCGGGGCUUAAUGUGAUUGUCAUGUGUCCACCAGGGACCAAGCUAUGAAUAAAUGCUCCUGUACUUCUCGUUCUGGUCCCAUCAGGUUUCCUGUUUCACAACUUCACAAAAGAUUCACUUCUUGAUUUUUCCGUCUGUCCAUUCAGCAAAACGCAAGUCAGAUUGAGAUUGUUCUUCACUGACAAAACAAAAUAAUAGCUUGAGUCAACCUUGGACAUAAAAAAAACCCCCAGAAAAGUCCUCAAGGUCCCCUGGGUCUCCUUAAGGACCCCUUCAGUCUCACCCAAUGUGCUCCGAGUAUCCUCAGGGACCCCCAAGUCUCUUCAAGGUCCUCUGAGUCUCCUCAAUGACCUUGGAGAGAAAGUUCAAGGGAUCUAAACCUGUUGUGUUUAACCCUCUUCAAGGACCCCGGGAACCAGUUUUUCACAUGAGCCUCUAAAAUAAUCUAUGGUUACAUUACAUCACAUGUCAUUUAGCUGACGCUUUUAUCCAAAGCGACUUACAAUAAGUACAUUUAACCAUAAGGAUACAGAGUCAGAAGAACAACAAACAAGUGCAAUUUCCUAAAAUAAGCCAUUUUACAACUUGCUGUAGAUAAGAACCGUUAUAAGUCCAAUGUAAGUGCUACAGUUAGUUAGUGUGUUAGUGGAGGUAGAGUCUGAAGAGGUGUGUCUUUAGUCUGAAGAUGUAAAGACUCUCUGUGGUCCUGAUGUCUUCACAGACCUCCUUCCACCAUUUAGGAGCAGGACAGCAAAGAGUGGAGAUCUAGUCGAGUGUUUUGCUCUCAGUGAGGAGGAACAAGCAGUUUAUCACAUGCAGAGCGGAGAGUGCGGGUCAGGAUGUCAGGUUGGACCAGGUCUUACAUCCAGGACCUGGUCCAACCUGGACCCCAUCCAUUCACAGCAUGGUAUGUGAGCACCAGUGUUUAGAACUGGAUGAGCCACCGGUACCAGUGGUUCUUUAACAGAAACCCUCAGAACCUUUUCAAGGCUCAUUUGAGACCAAAAUUCUGGAUCGUCUUUAACAAACCUUCCAAGGACCUUGUGGCUUCAGAUACCCACUUGUUCUGGUCCCAUCAGGUUUCCUGUUUCACAACUUCACAAGUUUAUUGACUUAUUCAUUAAACCUCAAAACCCACACAAGGACCCUUUAGAACCUUGUGUCCUUAAGGAGAAACCAAUGGUCCUAGAGUAAGCUCAGACCAGUUAAGUCUUCUGAUAGAGUUACCGGGUGUUCCAGUAGAGAUGGUAAUGAAGUCCACAAGUAAGAUGAGGACCUAUUAUCUCCCACUAUCACAUAUUCAUUGUUUCAUGGUCUCAUGGUAUUGAGGCUUUGAGAUAUUGAUGUCUCUGAGGUUUUUUCAGGUCUUUGAGAUCUAUAAUGGCGCGUUUCCACCGAGCGGUACGGUACGGGUCGGGGCGGUACCCUUUUAUUUGUGUCUCCAUUGCCAAAACCGUACCGUACCACUUUUUGGGUACCCUUCCGUUGGGGUACCUGGCACAGUUUCUGGAAUAUACCACGCCUAUCAAGUAAGGGUACUGUAAGCGGUGGAAACGCUCGCCAAAUCAUGGUUAACAGACCCGACCCGUACCGACCCGACCCAUAGCGUACCAUACCGCUCGGUGGAAACGCGCAAUAAGUCUCACAUUCUCUGAGGUGUUAUGGACUCCGAGGUCCCCAAGGUAUUGAGGUAUCAGGUCUGUGUGAUAAUGAGGUUUCUGUGAUCUUGGUGGUCUUGCGGUUUCUUGAGAUAUCUGAGGUCUUAAGUCUCAAGGCCCUCAAGGUCUCUGAGGUCCUAAGGUCUGGAAGUCUCUGAGGUCCUGAGGUACUUAGGUUUCAGGGUCUCUGUGGUCCUGAGGUCUGGACGUCCCUGAGGUCCGGAGGUCUUAUCACUGACCUGUGUCUGUCCUUAGUGGGUCUGACAGGAACCAAGCUGGGCUGUGCUGAAGGUGGAUGUGGCGCCUGCACCGUCAUGCUGUCACGACCCCAACCGCACACGGAGCGGGUGCUGUAUCCUUGAAUCCUGUGUGUGUGUGUGUGUGUGUGUGUGUGUCAAUCAUGUGCUCCCAUCUGACACUUUCAUCCUGACUCAUUAUUUC